GCCUCAUGGUUUAGUGGUUUGAGUAUUGGACUACAACUCUAGAGACCAGAGUUUGAUUCCCUGCUCAGCCA